UUAAUUGAAGCCAAAAAGAGGCCUAUCACUGUUAAUGAUAAAAUUGAGAAUUAAACUCCAAUUAAA
rnacentral:tRNA from 1 species